GAGAUUAUAGUUCAAUCGGUAAGAGCACGGCCCUGUCAAGGCAGAAGCUGCGGGUUCAAGCCCCGUCAGUCCCA
rfam:Capsicum annuum cultivar Zunla-1 chromosome 4, whole genome shotgun sequence